rnacentral:rRNA from 1 species
GACGAACGCUGGCGGCGUGCUUCACACAUGCAAGUCGAACGAAGUGGCGGACGGGUGAGUAACGCGUAAUCAACCUGCCCUUCAGGGGGGGAAAACAGUUGGCAACGACUGCUAAUACCGCCUAAUGAAGGAGGGGAUUGCGUCUGAUGCGCUCGUUGGAGGGGUAACGGCCCACCAAGGCGAUGAUCAGUCGCCGGUCUGAGAGGAUGAACGGCCACAUUGUGACUGAGACACGGCCCAGACUCCUACGGGAGGCAGCAGUGGGGAAUCUUCCGCAAUGGACGAAAGUCUGACGGAGCAACGCCGCGUGAGUGAUGACGGCCUUCGGGUUGUAAAGCUCUGUUAAUCGGGACGCGGUACCGGAAUAGAAAGCCACGGCUAACUACGUGCCAGCAGCCGCGGUAAUUC